GAGUUUGAUUAUGGCUCAGGAUGAACGCUAGCGAUAGGCUUAACACAUGCAAGUCGAGGGGCAGCAUAGAAUCAGCUUGCUGAUUUGGAUGGCGACCGGCGGAUGGGUGCGUAACGCGUAUGCAACUUACCUGCCAGAGGGGGAUAACCCGGAGAAAUUCGGACUAAUACCGCAUAUACUUGAGAUGCUGCAUGGUGUUUCAAGGAAAUAUUUAUAGCUGACAGAUAGGCAUGCGUUCCAUUAGCUGGUAGGUGAGGUAACGGCUCACCUAGGCGACGAUGGAUAGGGGAACUGAGAGGUUAAACCCCCACACUGGUACUGAGACACGGACCAGACUCCUACGGGAGGCAGCAGUGAGGAAUAUUGGUCAAUGGGCGAGAGCCUGAACCAGCCAAUUCGCGUGAAGGAUGACUGCCCUAUGGGUUGUAAACUUCUUUAGUAGGGGAUUAAAGUUUGCCUUGCGAGGCAAU
rnacentral:rRNA from 1 species